CAAUAGCGUAUAUUAAAGUUGUUGCAGUUAAAAAGCUCGUAGUUGGAUUUCGGGGCAGCCUGGCUGGUCCGCCGCAAGGCGAGUACUGGUCAGCCGCCCUUCCUCUCGAAAGCCCCGACUGCUCUUUAUUGCAGUGGUCGGGUAGUUCGGGACGUUUACUUUGAAAAAAUUAGAGUGUUCAAGGCAGGCCUACGCCUGAAUACAUUAGCAUGGAAUAAUGGAAGAGGACCUCGGUCCUAUUUUGUUGGUUUCCAGGACCGAAGUAAUGAUUAAGAGGGACAGUUGGGGGCAUUCGUAUUUAAUUGUCAGAGGUGAAAUUCUCGGAUUUAUGAAAGACGAACAACUGCGAAAGCAUUUGCCAAGGAUGUUUUCAUCAA
rnacentral:rRNA from 1 species